UACGUAGGGUGCAAGCGUUGUCCGGAAUUAUUGGGCGUAAAGAGCUCGUAGGCGGUUUGUUGCGUCGGCUGUGAAAUCCCGAGGCUCAACCUCGGGUCUGCAGUCGAUACGAGCAAACUAGAGUGUUGCAGGGGAGACUGGAAUUCCUGGUGUAGCGGUGAAAUGCGCAGAUAUCAGGAGGAACACCGAUGGCGAAGGCAGCUCGCUGGGACGGUACUGACGCUGGAGACGGCGAAAGCCGUGGGGAGCAAACAGG
rnacentral:rRNA from 1 species